rnacentral:misc_RNA from 1 species
GUGAGUCAUCGAAUCUUUGAACGCACCUUGCGCCCUUUGGUAUUCCGAAGGGCAUGCCUGUUUGAGUGUCAUUAUAUUCUCAACUUUGCAAAGCUUGCUUUGCAAGGCUUGGAUGUGAGGGCUUUGCUGGCUUCCAUUGAGUUGGAUGGUCUGCUCCCUUCAAACUUAUUAGUGGGAUCCUUUGUGGAUGGUCACUUGGUGUGAUAAUUAUCUACGCCGCCUGACUGUGAAGCAAGACUUGCGGGAACCUGCUUAUAACCGUCUCUUUGGGGACUGACUAUCUUUGACUAUUUGACCUCAAAUCAGGUAGGACUACCCGCUGAACUUAAGCAUAUCAAUAAGCGGAGGA